rnacentral:rRNA from 1 species
GAUGAACGCUGGCGGCGUGCCUAAUACAUGCAAGUCGAGCGAAUGGAUUAAGAGCUUGCUCUUAUGAAGUUAGCGGCGGACGGGUGAGUAACACGUGGGUAACCUGCCCAUAAGACUGGGAUAACUCCGGGAAACCGGGGCUAAUACCGGAUAACAUUUUGAACCGCAUGGUUCGAAAUUGAACGGCGGCUUCGGCUGUCACUUAUGGAUGUACCCGCGUCGCAUUAGCUAGUUGGUGAGGUAACGGCUCACCAAGGCAACGAUGCGUAGCCGACCUGAGAGGGUGAUCGGCCAAACUGGGACUGAGACACGGCCCAGACUCCUACGGGAGGCAGCAGUAGGGAAUCUUCCGCAAUGGACGAAGGUCUGACGGAGCAACGCCGCGUGAGUGAUGAAGGCUUUCGGGUCGUAAAACUCUGUUGUUAGGGAAGAACAAGUGCUAGUUGAAUAAGCUGGCACCUUGACGGUACCUAACCAGAAAGCCACGGCUAACUACGUGCCAGCAGCCGCCGUAA